CUGGAACCAAGAAAAUUCGGACUACCCAGUUUUUAUGCGUUUUUCCAAUUUUUCUUAAAGUUUUCUCGAUAGAUAAGUGAAAUAAAUUAAUUUGUGAGCAAAACAAACUACAAUUUCUAUUAGGGUUGAUUAAAAUUAAUGCAAAACUGUAAGGCCAUGUAAGUCUCGUUUACUUUCACUUUCGUUUUAUAACUUCCGGGUAUCUGAGCGUUCUUGGAGACAAUGGAUUACCGCUUCGCAUUAGGUUUUAAGCGGACUAGUAGAGCCUGUCAUAUCGUUUGUUUCCCGAUUAUUGAAAAGAAGAGGAGAAACUGGAUUAAGUUAUACAGGAAUUAAUGAGCAGUGGCUGAAUUGCAUAACAGGGGAUGGGGGAUGCAGUAGUAGGUAAAGGGUUCUUGUGGCUGCAUUGAAGGGAAAAGACCUGGCGGGAGUGCAGGGGCAAAGCCCCCAUAAAACUGAGGAAAAACCUAAAGUUUUUUCCCUUUGAUUUUAGAAUAGCAUAAGCAAAAUUUCAUAAACAAAUUUAAAGACUUUAAGAGGAAGGGGGCACAUGCCCAUCGCGCUUGCCCUGGAUCCGCCUUUGAUUAGAAACUGGAAUUUUUCUCAUUUGUUGUACAUGUAGCUACAACAAUUUAACUGUGUCUCCUUACAGGCCCUCACUGGGGCCAUAGGAUAUUCAUCAUUCAACAAUACAAUAUUUUAUCUAUGUUACAGGGCUCCAGAAGGUACUAAAAAAGGACAAUGCUUCAACUGAAUGUGUCAUCUUUGUACUGGUAUCUGUUAAUGGGGUUUAUCUCAUAGUUCUCUCAUAUGACAACUUCCAAGUAGUUACUGAUGGAAUUCAUUUUAAAUCAGGCACAAUAUGAUCACUUCCACCUGAUGUUUUUCCAGGUUCUUGUGAAAAGUGUUUCAACUGGCACCAUUCCGCUACAAAUACUUUGCCGAUGGAACUGACAUCAAUCAAAUGCUCACGACACUGAUAAUUCAUUAAUUGGAAGAGAAUUUCUUUGGGACAAACAAACUGUUUCAACAUUUUUCACCUACAAG